UUCUCUAGGGGACGUGAUCUGAAAUUCAGAAAGAAAAACAACACAUGUUGCCCUAAAACAGAAGGGUCUCACAAAAGACUUUCUUCAAUAAACUGCAGCAAAGAAAAAUUGAUGGAGCAUGAAAAUCUCGGGCUAAUAAUAGUAUAUGAAAGAAGAACAGAAAGUGUGUGCCAAGGUGUGACCCACUGAGAGAACCCUGGAGACAAGAGUGUACAGAUAAUGUAUCACGUAAUUCUAGAUUUUGUCAUGAAUUCCAUGAUGUAUUAAAAUAAUUAUUUCAGGAUAUUAUUGUCCCAUUGGCUUCAAAGGAUAAUGCAGAAAAACUAAGAGCCUCAGAAUUUUUUUAAAGAAAAUCAAAUUAGCUACCACAUUAAAAGUCUAUUUUUAUUUCAUUGUUGAUAUUUUCCAAGAAAAAAUAUAUUUCUAAAAUCUUCGGAAUCCAUUUGUGUGUUACCUUUUAAAACAUAGGAAAAAGGUAAAAUAGGCCAUCAGCUGAAAACACUUGUCUCUCCUGCAGUGCGAUAAUCUACUCACAUGAAAAUAUAAUGAGUCACUUUAAGAAUCAUCACACACAUCUCUUGCAGUUUGCCCAAGUGUUGGGAAUUUGUCAGGAAGAAAGCUACCUAUCAUCUGGUCUUUGGGACCACCAUGUGAUACUAUUCCAAGAUUCUGAAAAUCCAAGCAAUCUCAUUCACUGAGAGAAUAGUCAAAUGAUGUGUACUUUGUGAAAGUCAUACAAUAAAAAGAAAAACAUAACAGUAAAUCAGUUUUAUACUUUAAAUGUGAAAUUUUAGAUCCCAGUGUGUAUCACAGAACACAGUGCAAUCAUUGUUAGUUUCAUUUUUUUCCCUUAAAAAACUGCAAGGUAUUAUAAAUUGUGAAUAAUUUAAAACAUUAAAUGGUUACUAACAAAACUUCAGACUAUCAAAGCAAUAUAAUUUAUUUGUCUUUGUCUUAUACUAAUUAAAAUGUACUACUUCCCUUACUACUUUGGGGCAAGGCUAAGGAACAAUGACCUUUAAUACAUGUUGACUAAGAAGCUAACUAUAAACUGUUAUGUUGGGUUUAUAAGUCAUUACCAUUGAGCUGUUAUUCAUCCUAAAUCUUAAACAUUUGAACACAUUUCAAUUCAUGUAAACAAUAGAAAAUCAAAUGAGAAUAUGAACAAAAUAAAGUGAUUUUCAUAAUUAAAGGCUUAAAGGUAUAGACACAUGAAAAAAACUUCUGUUUCUGCUUAGAAGAAUAUGCCAGAAACGUUCCAUUCUGCACACUAUUGUGAUAGUACUUCAGCAAGGUCUGGGGAAUAAAUUUAUCUUCAGAAUAAUCCUCCCUACCCUUUAAAUUUAUUACAUGUAUACACUAGGAUAUAAAGGUCUAUGUUAAGUUGGAUACUUCCUGACAUGCUUUGCUUGACUUACUCCAACCAUCACUCUGUAUUUCAUUCAGUGCCAAACUUCUUACAGAGUAUAUCUAUAUCCACAGCUACUAAUUCCACAGCUAUUAAUUUCUUAGGCUUGCAGCCUAGCGUCUGCCCUCACCAUUCUAGGGGAACAGUUCAUCUUAAGGUCUCUAACCUUCUAAAUGACUAGGCCAACAGGUUGGCUCAUAGUCCUAACACCCAUACCCCAUCAUUUUCCUUCAGGGCCUGACUUCACUGAUCACUCCAUUUUGAAACAUCUUUCACUUUUGGUUUCCAAAACACGGUACAGCUUUGUUCUCCUCCCAUAUCUCUGACCUUGUUUUUCUGCUGUAUGUGCUGGCUCCAAACUUUCUCCUACCUUCUAAAUAUAGAUUGUCUCCUUGGACCUCUUUGCUGCAUCCUGUUCUUUAGGUAGUCUCACCUGGCUUCACAAAGUUAUCACAUUUAUACCAUUGACACCUGCAUCUCCAAUCCCGGUCUCAACAUUCCCCUUCAGGUUUCAAUUUAGUUGCCUGACAACCCUGCUACAUGACCUACCUGUACCUUAAAAAUUCAACUUGUCCUGCGAACAUUAGCAUAUUCUCUACAAGGUCAGCUCUUCUUGCUUUCCCUGUGUAUUUUUGGAGGCACCAUUCACCCUCAGUCAUCUAAGUUCAAAUGCUUCCAUCAUGAUUGACUGCUUUGGUUCUGUCACUCCUGGCAUUCCAUUCCUCCAAUUUUAAUUUGGGACACAUGUACUUUGCCAUUGUAGUGUAGGCUGUCACAUCUUGCACAGUCCUUACCACCUGUCUGCACAACUUUUUUGUCCACGUUUAAGAUUCAUAUGAUUCAUCGUCAAUUGUACUUGAAGUGGAUCUUUCUCAUCAAGCUGUCCCCCAUUCCCUGUUUACCUCUACAUUACAGCACAGAGUUAAUGCCCUUCACCAUAACAACAACAAGAACAACAACAAAAAUACGCAUGUGUAUAAUAGGUGCAAGUUUCAAAGACCACAAACUUGGUGUGUAAAAUGUAACUUUCUUUCUCUGAAAAGAAAUUUAAUUUCUAGUUAAAUACCCAUUCCUCAAGGAAGUCAGGAUGGGCAACUUUUAGAUGCUUUUUCAUUCAGUGGUGUUGUCUCUGAUGCUGUUUUCCCAAUAUUCCUUACUGUCAUUUCUCCUCUUUUCACCAGUUGGUGGUUCAUUGCCCCCUCCUCAGAGGCUGCAUGCCAAAAAGUGAGGGUGAGGUCCUCUCUGCUACUAGGUCCUCAAUCUCUUUGUGGUUCUUCUGACAAAAAGAUCUGGAUUCAAGAGCCCCUCCUCGUGAAUACUUCCUAGCACCUACCUCCUUUACUUCCCCAUUGCUUUUUCUUUCUGUUCUCCAAUUCAGAGAACUGUAAUAUCUUGGGGAUGACAAUAAGGGAUUAAAUCCUAGAAUCCUUUCCUGUAGGGAAGAAUCCAGAUUAUCUAAUGGACUUUAUUUUCUUACUUGCAUUCAUGCUAUAACAACUUUACCCCCUGGUCAUAAGAAUAGAACACAGCAGAUGCUUCCUGCAUGGAAGGAAGGUAGGGGCAGAAGGAAAAAGGGGGAAAGAAGCAUAGCUUAUUACAAAAUGUCAUGUCAUGACAUUAUAGUAGCAGAACUUAAAGACCACUUCAGAAAGGAUUAUUGCCAAGCUGCAGUACAGCACUUUCUCCUCACUGCUCUUUGGAAGGAACUAGCCGUUGCACUGUUAUAUGUGUGUAACUCUUUAUGGAAAGAAUUAUUUUAGGUAAAUAUAUGGGCAAUAUAUGCAUUUUGUUUGGCUUGUACACAAUAUAUGCAUUUCUUUGGCUUGGCUUAAACCUUUUUAAAAAGUGUUUUUUAAUUGAGAAUUUUCACAUAAAAUCCACAUUUUCUGCUUUUUUAGAAAAAUAUAAAAAAUUGGCAACAUCAGGAACUUGUACAAAAUUGACUUAAAUACAGCUUGUAAAGUCGGAUAGAGAAACAUGGUGAGUAGGCAAGGAGACAGAACUAAUAUCAACUAAGCACUUUCUAUGAGCUCGACAACUGCACACACGAACACACACACAUAUCAUUGAAUCCUUGAAGUUAGGGAGGUAAGAUGUUAUUAUUCUCAUGUCAAAAAGCUAGCAAGUGACAGAGACAGGAAAGGAACCUGCAUCUCUCUCACAAGGAAAGCACACUACUAGACAAGAAAUGGCGAGAAAAGAAUGUAGUCUCAAUGCAUCUAAAUCUCAGUGGUACCUUCUGGGAAUGAGAAUGCAUAGAAACCAACAGACCAAACAAAAUACCAAAAUCUACGCUACUGCCAUUCUUUGCUGCUUUGAAGCAAGUCUCUUUUUGCCAGAGUUCUCUUACUUCCUAGGCAGUCAAAUUAAGUAGCUACAAGUCAGAACAUGACAGAUUUACUUUAAAGCUAUCAACAAUUCUAUACUUUGGAGUACUUCUAGUCACUAUUAUCACAGAUGCUUCCUUUCCAAGGAUGGCAGAAAUCUCUGUGAUAGAAAGAAUAUAAAUAACCUGUAUUUUACUUCAGAUUGCCUUGGUCCUUUUCAAAAUAGGAGAAGGCAUACAACAAGUUAUAUUAGCGCAGCUCUUUCCACUGCCUCUAUAAAUGCAUAAAGUAGCAAUUUUCUUUCUAAACCAAAUCUGUUUGGCAAGAUAUAAUUGCUGUUAUAAAAAUUUAAAAAUGGUCCUCUUCAGGGGAGUUUACACCUUUCAGAUAUUUUUGAGCUAUUGUCAUGACGUUCACCUUUCCCUGUGGACAUAUUUGACUCCUUUAAUCAUGGCUAAUAAAUCAAUCCUUUCAUCCUCUUAAUUUUUCUUGUUAUUCUCUGAACUCCAUCCAGUUGGCUUAUAUGUAUUUAGUAAUGUGCAAACCAAAACUAAAUGUAAUAUUCCAACUGUGUUUUUUUUCAGUAUUACAAAGGUGAUAUUUUAAAAGCUAUUGAUUCCCUGUAAAACAUGUUUAAAAAAAAAAGAAAUCAGAGAAAAUGAAAGGAAAUAGUGAGAAAGAAAUAGUAAGGGAUCCUAUUAAUGUUGCAACUUUGUGAUUUAUUUAUGGAUAUUCCCUGAUUUCAAUUAUAGGAGGCUUAUUACUAUUAGUUAUUUAACUAACUAUGCAAUUCAAGUUAUUUCCAGAGGUGUUUUUUUUUUUUUUUUUUUUUUUCCAGCGGGGAGGAUGGAGGGAUAUUGUUUGUCUAUUGUUUUUAGCACAUAAAACUCUCGAGUUAUUUAUUUAACCCUAUCCCUAUGGCCAGAGUCCUGCUAGUAUUAGACUAAUUCCUCAAGUAAUUUACACCUACUUGUCAUACUAAAUCACCAAGCGGUAUACAUUCUAGACUGUCCGUUAUAGGAGGGCACUCACCUCAAGUUAAUUUGCUGCUUCUUGGACCCCUGCUGCCACUGUUUCUCUGAAAAAAAGAUGAACCAUAUCCCUUGGUCCAGCUGCCUUGCCUGACAAAUCUAUUUGUUAUAGAAAACUGCUGCGGAGCUUCUCUUGUCCUUCACUGGCUCACUCUGGUGCUGGCAUCAGUCUUCCUCUAUCGCUCUUUCUUACAGUGGGUCAACAGUCUUGUUGUAUUGAAAAGUUCCAAAAUGUGGUAGCUGUUAAUUCAAAGUUUAUUUUAACUUAAAAAUUUGACCUUUGUUUUAAAUAUAAUUCAUCUCCAAUUUUGGAACUUCCUUGAAAUAUUCCCAUUUGAAUUCAAGAAAUAAGUGUUAUUUCAGUAAUAACAUUGAUGCUUUUUAGCUAAGGUAGAAUAGAAGACUGGCUUUGAGUAUAAGAUUCUGGAACCAAACUACCUACAUUUGAAAGCCAAUCCAUCCACUAUCCUGUGUAAUGAGACACUUAAAUGCUCUCUGCCUCAGUUUCUGUCACAAUAAAAUGGGAAUUUUAUAAUUUUGAAGUAUGUUCCUUCAAUAUCUAGUUUAUUGACAGUUUAUAACAUGAAGGGAAGUUGAAUUUUAUUGAAAGUUUUUCUGCAUCUCUUGAGAUAGCCAUCUAUGACAGAUCCACAGCCAACAUCAUAUUGAAUGGGGAAAAGCUGGAAGCAUUCCCCUUGAAAACUGUCACAAGACAAGGAUGCCCUCUCACUACUUCUAUUCAACCUAGUAUUGGAAGUCCUAGCUAGAGCAAUCAGGCAAGAGAAAGAAAGGCCAUCCAAAUAGGAACAGAGGAAGUCAAAUAAUCCCUGUUUGCUGACAACAUGAUUCUAUAUCUAGAAAACCCCACGGUCGUAGCCCAAAAGCUCCUUUAGCUGAUAAACAACUUCAACAAAGUCUUGGGAUACAAAAUCAAUGUACAAGAAUCACUAGCAUUUCUCUACACCAACUACAGCCAAACUGAGGGCCAAAUCAGGAGCACAAUCGCAUUCACAAUUUUCACCAAAUAAAUUACCCAGGAAUACAGCUAACCAGGGAGGUGAAUGAUCUCUACAAUGAGAAUCACAAAACACUGCUCAAAUAGAUCAGAAAUGACACAAACAAAUGGAAAAACAUAUCCUGUUCAUGGAUCAGAAGAAUAAAUAUUGUUAAAAUGACCAUACUGUCCAAAGAGGUUUCCAGACUCCAUGCCGCUGCUAUCAAACUACCAAUGAUAUUCUUCAUAGAACUAGAAAAAACUAUUUUAAAAUUCAUAUGGAACAACCAAAAAAGCCCGAAUAACCAAGGUAAUUCUAAGCAAAAUGAAAAAAGCUGGAGACAUCAUGUUACCUGACUUCAAACUAUAUUACAGGAUUACAGUAACCAAAACAACAUGGUACUGGUACAAAGACAGACACAUAGACCAAAGGAACAGAAUAUAGAGCCCAGAAAUAGGACUGCACACCUACAACUAUCUGAUAUUCCACAAAGCUGACAAAAAAAAAAGCAAUGGGGAAAGGAUUAUCUAUUCAAUAAAUGGUGCAAGGAUAACUGCUACCCAUAUUCAGAAGAUUGAAAUUGGACCCCUUCCUUACACCAUAUACAAAAAUCAACUCAAGAUGGAUUAAAGACUUAAAUGUAAAACCCAAAACUAUUAUAACGCUGGAAGACAAACUAAGCAAUACCAUUCUAGGCAUAGGAAUGAGCAAUUAUUUUAUGACGAAGAUGCCAAAAGUAAUUGCAACAAAAGCAAAAAUUGACAAAUGGGAUCUAAUUAAAUUUAAGAGCUUCUGCACUGCAAACAAAACUAUCAACAGAGUAAACAGACACCUCACAGAAUGGGAGAAAAUAUUUGCAAACCAUGCAUCUGACAAAGGUCUAAUAUCCAGCAUCUAUAAGGAACUUAAAUUUACAAGGAAAAACAAAUCACCCCAUUAAAAAGUGGGCAAAAGACUUUAAUACACACUUUUCAAAAGAAGACAAGCCAACAAUCAAAUGAACAAAAGCUCAAUAUCACUGAUCAUUAGAGAAAUGCAAAUCAAAACCACAAUGAGAUACUAUCUCACACCAGUCAGAAUGGUUAUUAUUAAAAUGCUGAGGAAUAACACAUGCUGGUGAUGUUGCGGCAAAAAAGGAACAUUUAUAAACUGUUGGUGGGGGUGUAUAUCAAUUCAAUCAUUAUGGAAAGCAGUCAGGCAAUUCCUCAAAGAGCUAAAAACAGAACUGAAAUUUGACCCAGCAAUAUCAUUUUUGGGUAUAUACCUGGAAGAAUAUACAUCAUUCUACCAUAAAGACACGUGCAUGUGAAUGUUCAUUACAGCACUAUUCACAACAGCAAUGACAUGGAGUCCACUUAAAUGCCAAUCAGUGACAGACUGAAGAAAAUGUAGUAUAUAUACACCAUGGAAUACUAUUCAGCCAUAAAAAGAAUGAGAUCAUAUCUUUUGUAGGAACAUGCAUGGAGCUGUUCCCAAUGCAGGAACAAAAAACCAAAUACCACAUCUUCUCACUUAUAAGUGGGAGCUAAAUGAUGAGAACUCAUGGACACAAAGAGAGGAACAAUAGAUACUGGGACCUACUUGAAGGUGAAGGGUGGUAGACAGGAAAAGAGCAGAAAAGAUAACUAUCGGGUACAAAGGCUUAGUACCUGGGUAAGGAAAUAAUCUGUAUAACAAAUCCCUGUGACACAAAUUUACCUAUGUAACAAACCUGCACAUGUAACCAUGAACCUAAAAGUUAAAAAAAAUAAAGUGGGGAUAUUAAUAGGAGUACCUGUUUCACAGGGUAGUGAAAGUAAAUGAGUAUGGAGAUGUAAACACUAUUAUUUUCUUAAAAUUAUUUUGUAUUAUUUUGUUACAAUUAUAAUUUAGUUACAAGAACUACUGAAGAACUGCCAGUUCAUUGAGCCAAAUGAUAAGAUACCAACCCCCUGUCAGCUGCCCAACAAAAAUGGUCUCUGCCUUUAAGGAUGUUGACUUCUAGAUAGAAAUUCAAAUAUGUAUACACACAAAGAUGACUAUCAUAGGGCAGUAGAUAUGUGUUCUUCAGAAUCUUUCAUUCAGUAUAAACUUUGAAGCUAUUAAUCACUGGACAUCUGUAAGCUGUCAAUACAAAAUCUGUCUUAUUCUUCUAAGCCUUCUUCAUAACCAGUUGGCUCUGUCCUUACAUUGAGCAAUCGAUCAUAUGCAUUUACUCUAGGUUUCCUUAAUUUAUAUCCCAGUUGGGAACUGACUUUUUUAGCAGAAUUAGACAUGUAAUAUUAAAGUCCUAAAAUAUACAAGAGUUUUAACUAAUACAUCUAUCUAUCUAUCUAUCUAUCUAUCUAUCUAUCUAUCUAUGUAUCCAUCCAUCCAACCACCCACCCACCCAACCAUUCCUCCAUUCAUUCAUCCAUCCACUUAUGUCAGGUCUUCCUUAUGUUUUAUAAGGGCAGACACAUAAAUCAAAAUUCUGAAUGAAAACAUAUAAAGUUUUUAAACAUAUUUUAUUUAAAUUGGUUUACCUUUCUAGAAGAAAGCAGCAAUCUAUAAUCUUUAAGUGUCAUGUGAAGUUUAUUAACUAUAUUAAAGGAUGAAAAAUAUCUCUAGUUGUUCCACAUCAAAAUAAAAAAAAAAAAACAAGAGUAUUUCAGUCAGGACAGGGUUAAUGAAACUGUGAGAUAGAAAAAUACUCUUGGAUUUCAAAUCUGCUUCGCAUUGUAAACUAAGCACUAGUUUUAUAGAAAAAUCAUCAUUUAUCUGUAAUACUAUAAAUAUAUGUCUCUCCAAGCAUUCAAGCUAUAAGAUACCGAUUACUACCUAUCCAGCACAACCUUUCCCGGGGUAGACCUAAUGACCCUCAACAGUGUACAGAGAGAACUGGGACUUACCAGGGGAUGUGAUCUGUGAGUGACCACAAGCUGUUUGACCUUCACAAGUUGUUUUACCUUUCCUGCCUUCCAGCUCCAUUUCACCAAUCUAUUUUUUUAUAUAGCUGUCAUUGAAAGCCACCUCAGCGCCUUCCUAUUCAGAGUAGGGUUCAAAUAAAUAGAUUUUUAAAAGAGAAAGGAAUUCAAACCAAGACUUUCUGGUUCCAGAUUCCAAAGUCAUAGUUGAAAAUACAUUAUUGCCCAUUUGAAAUCAAUUUAAUAGUUGCAUAUUCACUGAUUUUAUAAUGAAUUCAUUUUAAUUUAGGAAAGGUUAAAUCAAGAUAUCCAAUUCCUAGGCAUUGUUAGAUUUCAAAACAGUAAGAAAUACCCAUUUAUCUAUUGUGGUAGGAAUACACAGGAUGUGUUUACAGGAAAUUAGGAAAAGUCUGGGAAAGAAAAUAUUCAGGGUUUUUCAAAUAUUUUCAUAACAUUACUUUAUGAAUGAGACUUACAAAGAUGAUUCAACUAGGCUAUAAUAUAUUAUGUUUAAUAACAUGUUUAGGUUCCAGAGAAACCACUGGGGGAACAGGCUCAGGAGAUGUUGGGGCUGGUAUAUGGAUAUAACAGCACUGUAUAUUUUUAAAAUGCAUUCUUCUAGUGACAUUUGCAAUCAUAUGAAUAAAAGCAGAAUUGGGAAAAUGGUAUGCUGCCAAUGAAGAUACAGCUAUUUUUAAUCAGGGAAAAUUUACUAGCUAAUUGGACAAUAAGUGUUUAUGGAUUCCUCUAACUCUAGACAUUACAUUUUUCAUUUGAUAUUGUAAAGUAUUCCUUCUAUUAAACAAACUCAGUCUUUGGAAAAUAUGUAAAAGCGUAUUAAAGGCAGGAAUUUAAGUUUGAGUAAUUUUAAUGUUUUGGCAUAGAGACAUUCUAAAUUUAAAUGGUAGCAGGGGCAUUUUUACUGAGUAAAUUAGAAAUUAUUUAACAAUCACUUUACAAAUCAUUUAAUGAUGACAGAAAACCUCCUUGGUAGGCAAAACUAGUAGACUAAGAGACAUGAAGAUCUCCUUUUGAAUUUUCUUAUUUUUUUUUUUAUGUAUUUAUUUGAGACAGAGUCUUGCUCUGUCACUUAGGCUGGAGUGCAGUGGCUCGAUCUUGGCUCACUGGGUUCUCUGCCUCCCAGGUUCAAGCGAUUCUCUUGCCUCAGCCUCCCAAGCAGCUGGGAUUACAGACAUGGGCCACCACACCCGCUAAUUUUUGUAUUUUUAGUAGAGAUGAGGUUUCACCAUGUUGGCCAGGCUGGUCUGGAACUCCCGACCUCAGGUGAUCCACCCACCUCAGCCUCCCAAACUGCUGGGAUUACAGGUGUGAGCCACCGUGCCUGGCCUCCUUUUGAAUUUUAAUAAAGGAUAGAAACUCAUUUCUUAUUAAACUUUGAUCUUCUCCAUCAUUGCAUUUAUACCAAUUACAACUAAUUUAUUAUUUGUAUAAUCUAUUGAACAUUUGUUUUACCCACUAGACUGUGAGCUCCAUGAGAAGACGGAAGAUAUCUAUUUUAAUCAGCACUGUAGCUGGUAUGUACUAAUAAUAAUAACAGUAAGUGUUAACUUUUACUGAGUACUUAUUAUUCAUCAGGCCUUGUGUUAAGCAUUUUCUGUCUAUUACUAGUAAGUUCAUUUAAUUAUAUUUAUUAAGUUAACAAGUAAAAUUUGUAGUGAAUCAAAAGACCCUAAAUUUAUACAGAGAAGCACAAAAGACCUUUUGCCAAGCAGAAUGAGGCCCAGGGUGAGAAGGGCCAGAAAAAUUCAGCUACUCCAUAAAAAUGAUUAAACCAAGGCUCAGAGAGGUACAGGCAACCUGCUUAAAGCCACAGGAAAAAGGUCACAAAUUCCAGUAUGUCCUGAUGAUGUGUCUGAUGCCACUGAGCAUAGAGCAUCUGAAGAGAGAUGCAGUGAGUUAGCUGCUGCAAAAACUAGACAGAUUUCUUAUAUAUGGACUCACUCUUCAUCAUUCACAUACUCCACAAACACUCACUGGCUAUCGACCUUAUACCACGUGCUUUGUGAGGUGGCAGGCAUGGCAAGACAAGGAAGAAAAAUCUAGGGGAGAUAUGCAUGUAAGCAAGUGUCACUAAGGUGUAGUCCAUGUAAAAUAGGGAAGUGUAAGGUGUAAGGAAGUGUUAAGUGUAAGGUGGGGAUCAAAGGAAGAAGUGAUUUCCUCCCACAGACAUCGAUUAAACCAUUUGCAUUAUUGGAGCCAUCCAUGCUAAAGAAAAAAAAAUCCAAACACAGUUCCUUCAACGUAAAAAAUAUUUGAAUGUACCUUAGAGAUUAACUCAAAAUUAUUUUAUCAGUCCCUGGAGGAAAUCACAUUUCAGCACUAUUAUCCUGAAUUUAGAGUGAAAAGAAUCACUUUAGUUGCCACUUUUUCUCUCUGAACUCACUAGCCACAGAUCAAUAAGAUCAUCCAUUCAUUCAACAAAUAUUUAUUGCAUGUUUAUUACAUCAGGCACUGGGAUACACGAGUGGCAAAUUUAAAAGUUUAGCCAUUAGUAUUCUCAGUGGCAUACCAAAAUUUGAUGAUAUUCUUCAGUAAAAAAUUUCAACAAAAUGAUAUUUUGAUCAUUAUCAGAUGAUCAAAUGAUAUUUUAAUCAUUAUCAGAACUUAAUGGAAACAAAAAAGCAUGGAUUAUCUGUUGCUUCCCAAUAAAACUAAAUCUAAUUCAAUGCCAUCCUAUUCUUAAUAUAAAACAGAAAAUUCCAUUGAAAACAAAAAUACAUUUUUAAAACGGGAAAUAGGAUCAAAAAUUUCAUAUUCAAUAAAGUUGCUUUUUCCUAAUUUUCCCAAUUACCUUCUUUAUAGAACUUAGUUUUUCAUCCAAUCAUUUUAAUACUGUCUUAUGAAUGUAAUUUUAGCUAAUUUAACUUAUCUCUAAAAGCUAUAGGCAGCUUGUUAAUUUGAUGUCUUUAUAAAAUACAGUGACUCGGAACCUAUUUAAUGUUGAAACUUGUAUACAUAUUCAUUUAUACAUGCAUUCUGAACUCCUAUCAAUAGCAUUUCAGAUUUUUAAAUAGCUUGUAAUAUUGCAUUUGUUUCAUUAGAAUAUUUUAUAAGCACAUACACAUAUUUAUGUUGUAUUUGAAUAUUAGGUUCCUGUUAUCAGCCAUUAUAAAUGUAUACAGUAAAGUCUUCAUUGAGGUUCUAAACUUGUUUGAUUUUUCCUUUUCCUAUAACUCUGAAACAUUUGCAGAGUUUGCCAUACUGAAGUGUCUACCUUUAUAAAUAGUCUUGUUUCUAAGAAAUUUUACAGGAAGACAAACAUCCCAUGUUUUCACUUAUUUGUGGGAUCUAAAAAUCAAAACAAUUGAACUCAUAGACACAGAGAGUAGAAGGUUGGUUACCAAAGGCUGAAAAGGGUAGUGGAGCGCUGGAGGAGAGGUGGGGGAUGGUUAAUGGAUACAAAAAAAUAGAAUGAAUAAGACCUAGUAUUUGAUAUCACAAUAGGCUAUUGUCAAUAAUAAUUUAAUUGUACAUUUUAAAAUAACUUAAAGAGCGUAAUUGGAUUUUUUGUAACUCAAAAGUUAAAUGCUUGAAGGGUUGGAUAUCCCAUUCUCCAUGAUGUGAUCAUUACAUAUUCCAUGCCUGCAUCAAAACAUCUCAUGUACCCCAUAUACACCUACUACAUACCCACAACAAUUUAAAAAUUUUUAAAAAUUAAAAUUAUGCAGAACCAUGUUUUAGUAAAUAAAAUUAUAUGUUAAAAGUGAUAUUUAAGAGAAUACAAAGUCUUGAUUCUUUAGAUAGAGAAGACUACUUUUAAAAUAUUAAGACCUUGUCAGUCACUUUUUAAGAAUUGUAAGUUUUAAAAAUUAUUUCAGGUUUUCUUAAAGUGAAAGAGAAAGUUUAAAUAUCCAGUGAGUAAAGAGGUCAGCUGAUAGGAGCUUUUACUUGAGCAACAUUCUCAGCAUAUUAAACCUCUGACCAGUAAGAGAGCCUCCCGCUAUGAUAGCGUUCAGAAUGUAAGCCAGUAAUGAACUGCUCUGCAUACAUAGAGAAGCUGCGCCCAACAAGGACCUCAGGAACUAAGCUCAGCUCUUUCGAGUUUAAAAGCAAUAGACUUUUGGGUCAGGAGCGGUGGCUCACGCCUGUAAUCUCAGCACUUUGGGAGGCCGAGGCGGGCGGAUCACGAGGUCAGGAGAUCGAGACCAUCCUGGCUAACACGGUGAAACCCCAUCUCUACUAAAAAUACAAAAAAAAUUAGCCGGGCAUGGUGGCAGGCGCCUGUAGUCCCAGCUACACAGGAGGCUGAGGCAGGAGAAUGGCGUGAACCCGGGAGGCAGAGCUUGCAGUGGGCCGAGAUCGCUCCACUGCACUCCAGCCUGGGCAACAGAGCGAGACUCCAUCUCAAAAAAAAAAAAAAAAAAAAAAAAUAGACUUUAAAAGGUAAACUAAAAUUAAUGGGUUCUAGUAGUUUUCUUCAGACCUUACAGCUUACACAAAAUGAUUUAACUUUUAUAUCAGAUCUCAAAUAUGUUAUGGUGUCUGUUUCAAAUUGUUAUAGAAUGCAGACAAUGCAUCUAUUCUCUUCAUUAAGUUUCUCAAGCAGACUUUAUGCUGUGAUCCUUUUCAUAAAUCCCAUGAUCUUAAACAUGACUGCUCACCUUGUUAGAAUACGAUGCUUAUAAAUUAAACAAAACUCUCCAGAACUAGUGGAGGGUGAAGGAUUCAAUCUUGGUUGCAUUCCAAAGAACUCUUUUUUCCAUAAAGAAAUGAAUUCUGUUGGCAGCCCCUUAUUCUCAGGGUUCUUCCUCACUUCUACAGGGGCCAAGGAAGGUUUCCUAUGCUCUGUUGCCAUCAUCUUGGCUGCACUCUGAUUUCAUGACCUCUGAGUUAAUCCUUCUUUUUUUCCUAUUAACAAGUGUAAGCAGACCAACUUCAAACGGACUGCAAUAGGUCACAAGGUUUAAUGGGCAUAGAGAUAAUCAUCUAAAUUACAUUUCUAGGCCUGAUGGGCUAGACAGACUUAGAGGGUCACUUUACCAGCAUUUGCUGUUAAUCAGCAAGGUUGGUGGGUCUCAGAGUGUAGCUGUUUUUACCUUCCUCCCUGAGGGGCUGGGUCACACUGAAUGAUUAGCGAAGGCAGCUGCAUUAACUUUCUUCUUCCACAAAGUGUGUUGUGUCCCAAAAGGACAUGAAAGUCAAAUGUGGCCACAGCUCAAACACCAGACGCACUCUUUUCAUCUCAGUGGAAUUAUCUGCCCUCUACUUGUAGAUCAUGAUCCUCAGCACAACAGUUGUUGCUGAUUUUCACGAUCUGUUAACAGUUAGGAAUUUUUACAUUAAAGAACUUUCUCCUACAUUUAUUUCUUGUAGCAACUAGGAAAAUGCCAUAGCCUACUGUAUAUAUUUUUUAAUGCUACAUGAUUCUUAACUUUAAAAGGAAUGAGAAAAACAGCAUUACUCCAAAAAGAAGAAGAACCAAAAUAAUUUUACCUCUUAAAAUUCUAAGAUAAAUAUCCUUUGGGAACUGGCAGGGAGAAGAGCAUCAUGAGUUGUUUUUACAAUACAGGCUCAUACAAUUUUAGUUAAAUAUUUCAGUUUAUUAUCAAAGAAAACAAUAGCCUUUUUUCCUGAGUGAGAUGUUAGAAUGUGUAUUUAACUGAAAUUCAAAAAAAGGAUGAACUGGAAUCAUUUAAAAUGUAUCAGUAUGUCUAAUAUAUAAGUAAAUAUAAUAUAUGUCUCAUCUGUAUAAUACUUCAUAACUUGCGAAAGUCUUUUGCAUCCAUUAUCAUUUUAUUCUUAAUAACAAUCCAGGGAAAUAGGUUGGGGCAAGUAUAAAUUAUGUCCAUUUUAUACAUCAUAGCAAUUUUCCGAGAACUUAAGUGGCUUGCUCAGUGUCAUUGUGGUAAUAAGCGAUAAAGCUAGCACAUAGAUUCAAAUCUUCUGAUGCCACACCCAAUCCAUGUAUCUUAUUGAAUAACAUACAAAAUGUGGUCUUCUGGUGAAAUGUUUUUUUUUUGUUUUUUUUUGUUUUUGCCAUGCACUCAGGCCCUUGUGGCAGAGCUGGUGGGUAAGUUGUGUUUACAUAAUUAGCGUUCUAAUGUGAGCAAAAACAGAUAUAUUAAACUGAUUCAAUAAGAAGGAUGUUGAUUUGUCAAAAUAGCCACAUACAUUACAAUGUUUCUAAAACUUGGAUGACCCUCAAUAGUACAGAGUUUAUAAAAGCCACAGAUACAUCCAAUCAUAUCUUAGCUUGAUGCUGAAGAGACCAUUUAGAAAGCUAACAAAUAAUUGGAAUGCAAAUGAUUUAAAUGAAAGCCAGAAUCAAAAGAAAUGCUUGAUCUUUAUCAGUUCCAAUCUUAAAAUAUAUUGUCUUUCUCUGAAUUGUAAAAAUUUUACCUCUCCCCCAACACAUGCCAAAAAGAAGAAAAGUAACAAUUUAGAAACUUCAGACUUAGUGGUGGUUAAUCAUCCAGGGGACUGAAGUAGGGUGGGGACAUAUUGUGAACUCUGAUGAGGUCUCUAAAUAUUGGAGAAAGAAUGAAAGGAAAGGAAAUUAAAGUAUAGAGGGUGUUAAUUCUAAGAAAAGGACAUAUUUAAUGAUGUAUGACUUGGUCAAAUGAUUACUAAACAUACUAUCACUCUUUCAUGAUUGAAUAGUAGGAAGACUGGGGUAAAGAUUAUUUGAAGCUACUCAUACAAAAUUGUGUCCUUAAACAUGAAUUUGGUCAUUAAUGAACAGAUCCUUUAUUUUCAUUACUGGUCAGUUAAUGAGUUUCUAAUUUUUAAAGUUUGACAAAAGGAAAUUUACUUUUGCUUUUAGACACUGCUUUCUCAAAAACAGUUACAAACAACACCAAAAAGAAACAAGAAAAAACACUUACUGGAUACUUAAGUGAAGUUUAUAUACUGGAUACUUAAGUGAAGUUUAUAUCCAACAUAUCCUACUUUGGCACAUCUUUUAUCUGAUGCUUGAUAUUACUUUUCCUUUUUUGUUCCUUUUUGUUUUUAUAGAUUUAAAUUAUGUUUAACAAGGGCAAAUAAAACUUAAGAAACAUAGUAAUUUAUGUUAGCAAAACAAUCAUUGAAAUACACAAAUGUAAGAAAACAAUGAAUUUUAAAAUUUCAGAGAGUUCAAGAAGAAACUUAGAAAAAUACCUUUGAUGUUCAGAAUCACUUAUAGGAAGAGUCAGAAAAGUUGAGAAAAUGAAGACACAUUUAUGUCAUAAAGAAUACAGAGUGAACAAUAUAGGACUAGAAGUCAAGUUUUGGGAAGUACCACUAAAAGGUGUUUAUUCCCUAAUAAAACUAUCUCCUUGGUGACAUUACUUGAAAUUUAGUCUUUUCACACACAAAGACAGGGUAUUUUGAGAGGUAAAGAAAUAGCCUUUCCUAUCAGACAAAUAAAUGGAAUAUGGAAGAAAUGUAUUGAAAAGAGAAUGCACCUGAGCUACAUAAUGAUAAAAGCAGGUGCUUUUUAUAUGAAAAAGAAAAGGCAUCAGCUUAGGGGUAGUAAAAGACAAUGGUUCUCAAAGCGCAGUUUGGGGACAAGAGGCAUGGCAUCAGCAUCAGCUGGAAAGUCACUAGAUAUGCAAAUUCUUGAGCCCCAUCCUAAACCUACUGAGUGGGAACCUGGGGUUUAAGCCAGCAGUCUGUGUUUUAAUAAGCCCUCUGGGAAAUUUCAAUGCAUGCUUAAGCUUGAGAAUCACUAGGAUGAGGAAAAGCAGUGACAAGAGAGGAACGAAAGAAGUGAAGCCAGUAUCCUGGUCAACAUAGUCCUACUGUCUUUCGGGGAGGGGAUUCCUCAGUUGCUACAUUGCUCAUAAUCAGUCAGAAACACUUAAGGCCUAGAUGAAACUUAAGAAGUGAACUAAAGAAGUGUACUAGACCAGAGAGGAAUUGGGUGGCAAAUUGUGGAUAUAAUCCUCCAAAUCCACAGUGGCACACAGCCCCUUUAAAUCCUGGGCCAAGUAUCCAGCAGUGGGCCAUGCCCUGGGGCAUCUGGAAAAGGAAGUGAUCACAAGGUCUUAUUAGGGCCUUCAAAUCAGAUUUGUGAUGUUCUGAGCUUUUGUUCCUUAAUAUUUACAAACACACAAAUAGUGGAAGAAAGAGCAGAGCACCUAGCAGUAAAUUGGGACUGAGGACAUACUUCUAACUAAAAUGUUUAGAUUAUUGAGGUUUUAAAAAAUCAUUUGGUCUAUCCAACCCUGUGAUGCCUGAAUUCUUUCUUUAAUAUUGCCACCAAGUGGUCAAUGAGUCUAUUCUUGGGAUACUUUAAAGACAAACCUGUUGCCCAUUGAGAAGGCAUAUUUAUUUUAUCUUUGGAGAGCUAUGGGUAUGAGAAUGGACUUAUUUAUAUUGAACUGAUAGCUGUCUUGUUGUGAGGCUCCAUAAAAUAUAGGAAUUCAGGACACUUGUCAUUUUUUCAUGGCCCAUUGUUCAACCCUCUCUUAUUUAGAGGGAAUCCUAUACUAUAAAUGCCAAGUAAUCCUGCUCUGUCUAGUGAGCAGAACAAUAACAUGUGAUUUAAAUGUGGCUAACUGGAUGCCCCACUGUAAGAUUUCAAAUUUGGAACAAAUGACACAAGUAAGAUAGGACAGUUUAGAAAUUGUUCAUGGCCUUGAUGUUCAGCAGCAAAGGCAGAAGCAGCAGCCUGUAGGCUCUGGAGAAGAGAGUGUGUCCAGUGACAGUGGGAGUCGGGGUGGUACUUUGCCUGCAGCUCCUCCUGUUUCCCUUGAUUCCUGUCCAUUUUCUGCUUCUAUAGUCUUCCCACAAUAGCUCAAUUCUGUAAGCUACCAGAUAUGUUUUGAAUAAAGUUCCUUUUCUGCUUAGGUUAGCCAGAGUUGGUUUCUAUUUCCUGCACAAGAACAUUGACUAAAAAAUUAGAUGUAAUAGAAUGUUGUGGGGAGUGGGGUAGAAAUGAUGAAAUGACAUUAGAGAUGUUUGAUUGAAGGUUGGUUAUCUAAGUAAAAGGUGGUUCAAAUGCAGUUGGAUAAAUGGAUUGGAGUCCAUGAGGAGAGUUGAGACUGGAAGUAGAUAUUUCAUAGACAUCUUUUAAGUCCUAGAACUGGAGGAGAUAUUCAGAAGAUAAACCUCAGGUAGACUUUGUUCUUUGUUUCCCAGCAUCUGUCUUUCUUAAAAGAGUAUUUCUAAUUUCCUUUGGGAAUUGAUUUUGUUUAUGCUUAGCUAUGAGGUUUGGAGGAAUUGGCCUCUUACCAGUUCUAGGGUUAGACUUCAUUGGCUUAAAUCAAUCAGUAGUAAGUAGUUGGGUACAAAAUCCAAUCAGUGAUAAUGAUAUUUAUGCAUAUUUCACAGGAACUCCCAGGAAAGUGAUGUGAGGUUUUGGUUCAGCAUGACCACAUGUGUGGACAUCUGAGAGAACCUGCAGUUGCCUGAAGGCUCCCAUGUGGAGUCUGAGGGUGAGGUAACAACUAAAAUACACCACAGUGAGAUGGAGAGGAAACAGAUGACAUUGUUUAAGCACUGAAUCAAACUUCACCUGGAGCUUGGAAUAUCUGGAUUUUUUCAGUGAAAUCUGCUAGUAAAUCCUCUUUAUUUUAAAAAACAAAUCAAAGUAGGUUUUUUUGAAUUAACAAUAUAAAUUGUUCUAGUCAUUGUAUCCCUUCUCUUCAAUUACCAUCCUUCCUCCCACACACACAUUAAGUUUAUCAUUUAUGGUAUGAGUGCAUUGGAUUAUAUCAGAAGACAUGAACUGAUGUUCUCUGUGCGGAAUCUGAUCACAGAAUUUUAUUUACUUGUUUGCCUUGCAGAGGCUUCCCUUUUAAAAAUUAGUUAUCAAUAUGUAAAACUUGAGAAGUCUUCCAUUAAAAUUCAAAUGUUAGGUUUCUUUGGAAGAAUUAGGAGAUUCCACAAUACUGAAUCAUCCUUCCAAAGUAGCAGCAAAUAUCUUGACCUGAGCAGUUGCUGUUCACAUUUAACAGGGCAUAUGCUUUCCACUUAGCCAUAGUCCUCACCAGUUCCUAUUGCCUACACUUGGCCUAAUUCUGUCAUUUAUAUUAGCCAUGUCUGAAAAGAUUUGUGUUUGCAACACUUUAUGGACUUAAGUCCCAGGUCUGCCACUUGUUUUCUGUGAUGAUACUGCCCAUCACAUAUGGUUGUCUUAUAAAGUGGUAAAAUCUGACAAGAACAGUGUAGGCAUUUACUACAAGAGACUGCUCUACUGUGUGAGGUUACUCCAAUCAUAGACAAUAGUUUUAAUUGAAGAAUCUCAACUUGUAAGGUAAAUAAAUAAAUGAGAAAUAAUUUUAUUUUUUUUGAAUAACUGCUACUAUCCUGCUAUGUUGACAAACCUACCCCCUUUCUUAAUGGAUCUGGUUCCCUUCACGAUACUAAAGUCCUGUAUCAUUACACUUUAGUAAUUGCCAGUUAUUAAAAGUCUCAUUUUCACUAAAACUUUAUUCUCAUUUUGAUCCAAAGCUUUCCCCCAGGGAAAUGUAGAUUUGCAGCUCCCACUCUUUAUGGUAGGCAGAGAAGUAUGACAGGUCUAAUUCUGAGAUAGCUCUUAUUCUUCCUGGCCCUUGAUGUAUAUCCAUCUUCCUCCAGUUAUUCAAGCAAACACUAAUCUAGGUGUUGCUGGGAGAGAUUUUGCACAUGUAAUUAAAUUCCCAAAUCAGUUGACCUUAAAUUAGGGAGCUAAAAUCUGGGUCUAGAGGUCAGAGAUAGGAAAGACAGAGAGAGAAAAAUCCUGGGAGAGAGAUUCAAGGUGUGAGAGUCCCCAUUGCUGGCUUAGGAGAUGAAAAGGACCAGGUGGCAAGGAAUGUGGGCAGCCUCUGGGAACUGAGAGCAGUCCUGGACUGGCAGCUUGUAAGGAAACAAGGACCUUAACCCUCCAGUUGCAGGUAAGGGAAUUCUGCCAGCAACCCCAGUGAGCUUGUCAGUGGGCUCUUCCCCAGAGGUUCCAGACAAGAAUUCAGCCUGGCCAACACUUUUAGAUUUUGAGCUCUGAGCAGAGAACACCGUCCCACUGCCCCUGGAUUUCUAAGCUACCAAACCUGACCUACUGAAUGGAUGUUGUUUUAAAAGUUGCUACAUUUGUGGUAAUUUGUUGCACAGCAAUAAAAAAAGUAACACGGAAGGGUUGGAGGUGGUGAAUGGGGUCCGUUCCCUCAUAACUUUCCUAAAUUUUUUCCUUUUGAUUUAAGGUGGGAGAAGAUGGCAAAAUAAAUCUUUUGGGGGUCAUCCCUGUUGACCUCGAUCAUUGUCUCAUUGUUGGGGGGUAGCCUCAAAAAAGCCAUGAUGUUGAGGCAGUUGUCUGGAGCAUUGAGAGGCUCAGCUACCUUUUCCAGCUGAUCCUGAUCAAAAGCCUCAGGUAUCUUUUCAUCUCCUGCUGGGUCCCUGAGAAGCCUACAUACAAAACCCCAUUUCUUCUACCUUCUACAGCUUUAACUCUGGGGACUGUGGCCUGGGACAGAUAUAGCUCUACCUCGAAUUCCUGAGAACUCAGGGGACUGCUCCUUGCCCCUUCUUAGCCUGGCGAACCUUACCAGCAGCAGUAUCUCAUCACUCUCUUUCUCCCUUUCUGGCAGUACAAGGCCAUUCCUCAGACCCUGUUACUAAGCAGAUAUUCAGCCAGGUAAACAAGCAAUUUUCUCUCCCUCUUGAAGUCAUCUCUAAGCUUCACAGGUGAUUACCUUAAGAGGAGAAAUCAUGGACCCCUCUCCCUUCCCCCUCUGGGAGCAGGUUGGGGGGACAUAGUCUCUCUUCAUGAACAAUACAUUCCCCAAAGUUCACCUCUUCUCGCUCUCUAUCCCCUCAUAUCUCUCUUGCAGCCAAAUAUAUGAAAGUCUGAGGCUAAGGAGGCCUUCUUUUACUAAGAUAAGGAGAAGAGGAACUGUACUCAUACAACCUUCAUGCACAGGGAUAUCAACACUAUUCUGAUGCAAUAGUGAUGUAAUGUCAUAGUGAUAUAAUGUAAUAGUGAUGUAAUGUAAUGAUGCAUUUAGCAUUUUUAAAUCUCAUGUACCCCAUAAAUACAUACACCUACUAUAUAUCCAUAAACAUUUAAAAUUAAAUAAAAAUUAAAAAAAAACAAUUUGGUGAAUCUGGAUGUAAAGUGUAUAGGAAUUGUUUAUACUGUUUUUCAACUCACAAGUUCAAUAUUAUUUCAAAACACAAAGCUAAAACAAUUUAAAAAUUAUAUAUGCAAAAAUACCCCAUAAAUGUAAUCAUGCAUUUUAACAUUUUUCAAGAAUGUCAUAUUAAUGUAACCUAGAUCAUAACUUUUAAAAUAGGGCAUGUAUUUAAUUUUGUAUUUGGUUUGAACAGUAUCAUUUAAUUUUACAAAUAUUAAGAACUUUCCAGGCAUUGUGCUACGUGAGGAUGAUAAAAGACCUAAGCUUUGGCCUGGAGAAGUUUACCAUGUGUGUGCAUGUAUGUGUGCGAGUGAGGGAGAGAGACAAGAGUAAUAUACAACAACAGAGUGUUAGCUAAUUGUAGAGUUUUUAAAAAGAUACCACAAUUAUUUCACCAUCUUGAACAAUAUUUUUGCUAAUGGGUUGGGGAAUCCACGCCAUUUAAAAUGGAAUUUAAAUAAGAUUGGGAUUGCCUCUUUUGGUAACAAUAAGAGGUAGGUUCAUUUAAAAAUACUUUUGAACUAAACAUUUUAAUAUUUAAAUAUGUAUCUAACUUCAAAUUCUUUCUUAUCAUAAUGAAUCCAUGUACCCGGCAUAACAAAUCCAUGUAUUUCUACUGAAUUUUUUGAAGAGGUAAACAAAAACAAAAACUUCUGAUCAAGUCAGAGGCCCUCAUUGAUCUCCCCCAAAUUAUAAUCUCAACUCCAAUUGAUCACUCCCCACUCACAGAUUCUGGUGCAGUUUUGAAUAAACUUGAGUUUUACAAAUCAGAAGAGUAAAUUGUAUAGAUGUCUUUUUCUCUUUCUGAAACGUAAAAUCUAAAAUUUAUACCAUUUUUUUUACAUACCCAAUAAAAAGUGAAAUCUUUAUUCUCUGGGUCUGCAAAAGCAACUUUUGAAGUCGAAUAUAUUUAUCAACAUACUCACUAGGGGCAUUUUUUUCCCUACAGUUUUGGAGAGAGUCUGAAAACCAAUACCAGUAUGGUUUAGAUAUUCAUAAUUGUUUACACAUGUUUCAGUAACGAAAUAUAUUUCGGGGGGUUGGCACUUUAUUUUAGGAUUUGGGAUAGCUGGAAAUUAUUAUUGUUAUGGUUAAAAGUGUUCUAACUGGAUAAUGGCAUUAAAAAGAAUAUAACAUUCUGGAAUCCUUCCUCUUAACAUGAAAAACAUUAUUUUAUUACAUGGAGUUAUUUAAAUAUGGAUUGGCUGUUGUCUGGCUAGUUACACAUGGAAGUGUCUAAAGAAAUAAGUUCUUGGAAGAAGCAUCAAAUAGAAAAUGACUAUCGUUUCUUAUUAUUAAUAGUAUUAUUGUUAUGCAGAGAAACCUUAGUACUCUUUUUAAGGGCUAGAUGGUUAAUAUUCCAUAUCCUGCAGUGACAGAUUCUAAUUAAAUAUUUAAGAAGUGGGACAUCUUUUCCAAUCAUGAUACACAGUAUCUAUUACCUUGGAGAAAUAUAAAAAUUUUUUUAAUAUUUGUUCCUCCAGAAAAAAAAAAAAAGAUGAUUAAUAAGGGACUCUGUGUCUCCCAGAACCUGAAAUGUUUCUUCUAAGGAGCUAGACUAUGUUAAGAGCCAAGAGGAAGCAAGGUUCAAAGGAAAUUCAUCUAAUAUUUGUGCUCUGGUUAUGAAAGGGGGUGAGAAGCUGUUCAUCAGCGGCAUGUGUCCAGUUGGCAGGGAGGGCUGAAUGCCAGACUGGGGUUAUCGUGAUCACAGAUGGACUUAGCAUGGGAAAGAGGAUGUCAAAGACUCCCAGUCAGUGCAGCUAUUUUGGGGGCUUUACACAAAUCAUUAUUUUUUCAUUCUGUACCACUAUUGCCUCAGUCAAAUGUAUUUGUUUAAUUUAUAACAAACAUGCAAACCCUUAAACAGCAGAACUUAAUAUAACAAUUAUCUCUUAUAUGUUGAUACCAUGACCCAAUAAUUACUUCCUAUUUGCUGAUUGGCUAUUGAACAUUUGCAGAUUACCAAUGUAGGUCUCAUCCUUGGAGAUAUCACUGAAGGAGGGUUAUUAAAGUAAUGAAUUAUAAUUGUGCAUAUAAUGCAUCCCUUUCAUCAAAAAAUUUUUUACAGUUUUUAUAUUUUAUGAUAUCAAGACAAUGCCACUAAGAUUUAACCAGUAAGGGUAUAGAAGAGCUAAGUCAAUAUUAUAAAGAAUAUUCUAAAGAAGAAAUGGGGAACUUUUUCAGCCAGGGAGGGUAAAUUGUCAGUGAACUGGCAAUCCUGCAUUCAUUUUACUCAUUUUAUUCAUUCACUUUAUUCAUUUUCAGGAACUCAAGAACCGUGUCUAGGUCUGGAUGCCGAUAGCCCUUCUACAUAAGGCACAACUACAAACUGCCAGCGGGUCUGAUACCUGAUUCAUGGGUUCUCAACCUUACUCUGCUGGCAAAGUUCAUUGACUGGCAAUGAACUUUGGUCAAUUAUUGAUGGUGGACUUUGGCAAAUUAUUGAGGUUUACUGAUAUGCAGGGUGAGGUGUUAGAUGUCAAAGAUCCUCCUAACUCCAAAGUUCAGUGUGACAUUGGAACACAAGACUCACCAAUGGCCUAACUAUGAACUGGCUACUGGCCACAGAGCUACUGGUCAAUCCUACAGCUAGAAACACACCCCGUUGCUCACACCCUCCUCUACUGGUAUCUUCCCCAUUAACAAUGUUGGCCCCUCAAACCUUUUCCCCACACGUAAUUGUUGCAGGGCUCCCUGGUGCACUCGACCCCUUUCUUAUGACUGCCCCCGUCACUAUAUUAAUGAUAUCGUAUAUUAAGUGGGCUUUUAAAGGCUUACCUAAAACCUAACCUCAUAUGUAAAUUUACUUCUAUACACGCACUAGAAAUUAAUGACAAGUUCCAAACAAUAACCUACAAAUUAACUCUUGGAGCCAAAACUCUAUGUAAAGUAUAUACAGUUGACCCUUGAACAGCAGGAGGUAAGAAGAGGGGUGGUGGUUAGUAAUGCCAAUCCUCCAGGCAGUCAAAAAUCCAAGUAUAACGUUUGAAUCUCCAGAAACAUAAUUGCUAAUAACCUACUAUUGAGUUGAAUCCUUGCUAACAUAAACAAUUGAUUAACACAUAUUCAACUGACAAUACAUAUCAAGCAAUUCAACUUUUUCUGUUAUAUCAUGACUUUUCUCUGCUUCUUGGGAGCACUUCUAGCAUCAUUAGUGGUGGCACUUUUUAUGGGUGCCCUGGUGUUAUUCAAGUUUACAGUAUUGCACUAAACACAAUAAAAAUAUGUACGAGCCAUGAGAGAUCACAUUUUAUUUUUUAAUUUUUUUAUUUAGACAAAAUAUGCAUAUAAAAUUUACUGUCUUUAUUAUUCUUAAGCAUACAGUUCAGUGGUAAUAAGUAUAGCUAUAUUCUUUUUUCCUUCCAUCCUCCUUCUAUCAUUUCUGGCUUCUGGUAACCAUCACUCUAUUCUCAAUCUUCAUGAGAUGUAUUUUUUUAGCUCACAUAUAUGAACGUGAACAUGCAACAUUUGUCUUUCUGUGCCUGGCUUAUUUCACUUAAUAUAAUGGCCUCCAGUUCCAUUCAUGCUGCUGUAAAUUACAUGAUUUCAUUCUUUUUUAUGGCUGAAUAAUAUUCCAUUGUGUAUAAUACCAUGUUUUCUUUAUCCACUCAUCUGUGACAGACACUUAGGUUGAUUCCAUAUCUUGGCUAUUGUGAAUAGCGCUGCAAUAAACAGGAGAGUGCAAAUAUCUCUUACCUAUAUUGACUUUCUUUCUUUUGGAUAUAUACUCAACAGUGGGCUGAUGGAUCAUCUGGUAGUUCUAUUUUUACUUUUUUGAGGAACCUCCAUACUGUUCUCCAUAGCGGCUGUUCUAAUUUACAUUCCCACCAACAGUGUGCCAGAGUUCCCCUUUCUCCACAUUCCUGCCAGCAUCUGUUAUUGUCUUUCUGAUAAAAGCCAUUUUAAUUGGAGUAAGAUAAUAUGCCAUUGUGAUUUUGAUUUGCAUUUCUCUGAUGGUUAGUAUGUUGAACAUUUUUUCACAUCCUUGUUGGCCAUUUGUAUCUCUUGAGAAAUGUCUUUUCUGAUCUUUUACUCAUUUUAAAAUCAGAUUUAUUUUUUUGCUAUUGAGUUGUUUGAGUUGUUUACAUAUUUUAGUUAUUGAAUCCUUGUUAUAUGGACACUUUGCAAGGCGUUUCUCCCAUUUUUUAGGUUAUCUCUUCAUUGAUUGUUUCCUUUGUUGUGCAGAAGCUUUUUAGCUUUAUGUAAUCCUGAUUGUCUAAUUUUGCUUUGGUUGUCUGGGGUUUUAAGGUCUUAUACAAAAAUCUUUGCUCAGACCAAUUUUCUGGAGCACUUUUCCAAUGUUUUCUUCUGCUAGUUUAUAGUUUCAGGUUUCAGAUUUAAGCCUUUAUUGCAUUUUGAUUUGAUUUUUGCAUAUGAGAAAUAAGGGUCUAGUUUUAUUCUUCUGCAUAUAGUUAUCCAGUUUUCCCAGCACCAUUUAUUGAAAAGACUGUCCUUUCCCCAUUAUAUGUUUGUGGCAUCUUAAGUGAAAGUGAAUUGGCUGUAAAUGCAUGGAUUAUAGCUGGGUUUUCUAUUCUGCUCCAUUGGUCUACACAUAUGUUUUUAUGCCAGUACUAUGAUGUUCUUGUUACUAUAGCUUUGUAGUUAAUUUUGAAGUCCUGUAGUGUGAUGUCUGCAGUUUUGUUCUUUUUACCAAGUAUUGCUUUGGCUAUUCAGGAUCUUUUUUGGUUCCACAUAAAUUUUAGGAUUGUUUUUCUAUUUCUGUGAAGAAUGUUAUUGGUAUUUUAAUUGGGAUUGCACUGAAUCUGUAAAUUGUUUUGGAAAAUACUGUCAUUUUAACAAUAUUAAUUCUUCCAAUCCAUGAGCAUGGAACAUCUUUCCAUUUUAUUUGUGACCUCUUUUAUCAGAGUUUUAUAGUUUUCCUUGUACAAAUCUUUCAUUUCUUUAGUUAGAUUGAUUCCUAGUUAUUUUAUAUUUUUAUAGCUAUUAUAAAUGGGGUUGCCUCCUUGAUUUCUUUUUCAGGUUGUUUGCUGUUGGCAUAUAUAAAUGCCAUUGAUUUUUGUAUGUUGAUUUUGCAACCCGCAACUUAACUGAAUUGUUUAGCAACUCUAAGUUUUUUGAUAGAGUAUUUAGGAUUUUCUAGGUAUAAGAUCAUGUCAUCUGUGAACACAAAUCAAUAAACAUGACACAUUAACAGAAUCAAGAAUGAAAACCGUAUUAUUUCAAUGCUGAAAAAGCAUUUGAUAAAAUUCAACAUCUCUAGGCCGGGCGCGGUGGCUCACGCCUGUAAUCCCAGCACUUUGGGAGGCCGAGGUGGGCGGAUCACAAGGUCAGGAGAUCGAGACCAUCCUGGCCAACAUGGUGAAACCCCGUCUCUACUAAAAAUACAAAAAUUAGCUGGGCGUGCUGGCGCAUGCCUAUAAUCCCAGCUACUCAGGAGGCUGAGGCAGGAGAAUCGCUUGAACCAGGGAGCUGGAGGUUGUAGUGAGCCAAGAUUGUGCCACUGAACUACAGCCUGGCAACAGAGUGAGACUCUGUCUCAAAAAAAUAAAUAAAAUAAAUAAAUAAUAAAAAUAAAAUAAAAAAUAAAAAAUUCAACAUAUUUUGUGAUAAAAAUCCUUAUCAAAAUGUAUAUAGAAUGAAUAUACCUCAAAAAAAUAAAGGCCAUGUAUGACAAGCCCACAGCUAACAUUGUACUGAACAGAAAAUUUAAAGGCCUUUUCUCUAAGGACUAGAACAAGACAAGGAUGCCCACUUGUACCACUUUUAUUCAAUGUAAUUCUGUAAGUCCUGGUCUCAGCAAUUAGACAAGAGAAAGAAAUAAAGGGCAUCCAAAUUAGAAAGAGAGAUCCCUUUUUACUGUGAUGCGCAAUUUACUGGAGAGUUAAACUCCUCAUAUGGAGAUGAUUAGUGUCAGUUGACAUUUUAUGUGGAUACUUGCAACACUUGAGCUCACUGCAAUAACCAGCUACAAAAUUAUUACAGUAGCACAGUACAUACUACAGUUCAUUCUAUGUAGUUUUGAUUUAAUACUUCAUCUUCACAUUUGUUUAUAUUUCUCUGGACUGGGAAUGGCACCAUGUAUAGUCUGUAAGGGUUUGGUACAUUUUGAUACAUUUUGACUUUCUAUAACAGAUUUGUAUAUAUUUUAUGGUAGUAAGUGAUAAAAUAGACUAGGAUCUACAUGUUUUAUGCAUUAAUGACAUACCUAACUUUUUCUUAUUUUUGAUGAUUCUAGGCCAGAUGGUUUGUGAGUUUUUUCAAAUUGUCAGAAAAUCUUCAAAAAAUUUUUCAAUAUAUUUAUUUUUUAAAAUCCGCUUAUAACUACACCCAUGUAAUUGAAUCCUGUGUUAUGCAAUGGUCAACUGUACUUACUUUAACAAUCUUGUUUUGGUAUGUGAUAGAGUGGCUUAUAGCUUGUAAUUAGCAGUGCUCUGGAACCAGGACUUCUGGGUUCAAAAAUGGUUUCUGCUACUUACAAGCUAUGUGACCUUGGCAAGUUCUUUGUGCCUCCUUUUAUUCAUCUGUGAAAUGGGAGUUAUUAAAGUAUCUACCUUUUAAGUGUUUGGUUUAGUUUUGAGAAUUGAGUUAAUAAGUGGAAAGCAAUUAGAAUAGAACCUAACACACAAUAAGUGCUAAAUAAUUAUCAGAUGCAAUGCAUCUAAAUGUUCUCAGGAGGGACAAUUCUCUAAUCCGUGAAGAUGUAUUAGCAUUUGGGAAAUAUCUAAAAGUCAUUUGGAAUGAAAUCUGAUUUCAAAAAAGUGAGGAAGAGUUUAGCAGUUUUGGUUGAAAUCAUGUAGGCUAAGACUCAUUUUCUCAUUUAGUUGAUUAUAAUAUAUGAACAAGUUUACCGUCUUUUAGAAUAAUAGUAUUUUUUAGAGAUUACAGAUACAAAAUAAUUAAAUUACAUUAUGAUUAUGCCUCAUUCCUGAUAAAACAUAGGUAAUAUCUUUAUCCUUUGCUACUAAUUUAUUAAAACAGCAGAGAGAACAUUGAUCCCCUCAUCCUUAUCCUUAAUGGAAUCUACCAAAUGGAAUCUUUGAAAGAUGUUUCCGGUUUUAGUAAAGAAAGGUUUUCUCUCUUAUUGUUAAAUAAUUCUUAAAUUCCCAGUCUCUCUUCUGAGACCGCUAAUAAAAUGAAAUCCACCAUUAAUCAUGCAACUGUCAAAAUUAAAAUACAUGUUUAAGGCAAAAUUUACACUCAAUUCUGAAAUGUUUGUAAUCACAUUCAUUACAAAAAUGUACUGUAUAAUUUAGCACAGGUGAUUCAUGCUACAAAGUCCUUCAUAUUUUUGUAUCUUAUUAAAUCUAAACUUAAAUUUAAGAAAUUUGAAAAUCUCCAAUACAUUUUACUAGACUUCAAUGGAAAAAUAAAAUUUGAUGUUUUAAACUUUCCUCUUAUGCCAAUCUGAAGACAUAUUUUAUUUAUCUGUCUCUUUUAAAAUAUACAUUUUGCAAACAUGGAUACUGGACUCUUUAUGUGCCUAGGCACUGUUCCAAGAUCUUCACAAUAUUAACUCAAUUUUUCCUUAAAACUCCCUUAGAGCAUCAGUAUCAUUACUAUCCAUGUAUGACAGAUGAGAAAUUGUACAAGGUCUCUGACAAGUAAGGGUUGAGCUGUGACUGAAAUCUAGACAAUAUAAAUAGUAUUUUGAUCAAAGUAUUUAAGAGGGAUUAUUUCACUCAAAGAAAAUUUCUCCCUCCCUGUUAUUUCUUAAACCUUUGAAAGCUGGGUCUCUUAACUUUAUCAAGAAUUUAAUUUUAAAAUAAUUUGUCAGGUCAAGAAGCCCACAUGCAAUAUUUAUUUUCCAAAUCAUUAGGUCUGGAAAGAUCAUCUUCAAGCAUGUGGAGGGGUGGGGAGCUGGGGGAUGUGGAGGAGGUAAAAACCCAGCAAACACAGUGAACGUCUGUACCACAUUGCUAAAGAAUGAGGUCCUGAGAGCUGGAGGGCACUGGGUAGGGGCCUGCUCUGCUUUGAAGAAUGAGGUCAUGCUCAAUGUUUUAAACUCAUCAGUCCUGCCUAUAAAAGGGUGUGGGUGAAAAAGAAAAAAAGGACAAAUUAGCAUCAUUUUCAAAAGAAGUUAAAUAUGUCAGGCGGUAAAGUGUCCUAAUUCUGUCUUCAGGGAACAUAUAUCAAACCAGCCUGUAGUUAGUUCUGCAAUCAGUGAAACCAUCUGCAAGGAAUACUCCAUCCCCCAAUCUUGUUCCUACAACACAUGCCUAUUGAAGGAAAUGUCACAUGCAUGUGGAAAUUUUCUCAGCAUUACCUAAUUGAAACAUUGGGCCAACCUUUCUUUGAACAAAAAACAAUUUGUUAUAGCCUGCUGAAAGAAAGCACACCAAUGGCUUUGACUAAUGAGAACAAUAUAAAUAGUCCAAAUGAUAUACUGUUCAAUUUCUCUGGGUUUUCAGGAGCACCAUUACCUACAACUCAUAACCACUUUUCAAGCCUGUAAGAAGAAAGCAAGGGCUAGUAGCCCUUUACAGAUAUUUAUUUCUAAGGCAAAUAUUAGAUUUGGUGGCAAUUUGCUUUGAGAAUUAUAUCAAUUGUUGAUUCUUUGUGCUAAUACAGAUCAUUGAAAAAAGCACACAAUUCCAAAAUGUUAUAUUGUUAAAUAGGCACUAAUUUCUUUAUCAUUAAAACUACAAAUGAAACAAUGUGUAUAAAUGGUGCAGUUGCUGGAACAAAGCAAGUGCUCAAUAAACUGAAUUAUAAUCAUGUAUAUUUUAUGACAGAAAUGAAACUGUCCUUAUUAUGUGUGUCACUGCUAGUAAUAUUCUGCUUCAGAUUGUGAGUUACUAGGAUAGGAAUUUUUACCUGGCACUUUUCAUACCUCUGACAUUGUAUACGGCAUUGGGCAUAUAUACGUACAUUAUUUCUUGAGAUGAGGGGUCAAAACUUUCAUCAGAUAUUCUAAGGGGCACACUGCCUCCUCCAAAAUGUUAAGAACCACUGGCCCAGAGGAAUCAUUUGCUUUAAUUUAUCCUAUAUAGAGCCAAACUUUGUUUGAUAAAGCCAAAAAUAUCCUUUAAAAAAUACAUCAGCCAGCCACUGGCUCAUGCCUGUAAUCCCAGCACUUUGGGAGGCCGAGGUGGGCAGAUCACAAGGUCAGGAGUUUGAGACCAGCCUGGCCAAAAUGGCGAAUCCCAGCUCUACUAAAAUUACAAAAAUUAGCCGGGUGUGGUGGCAGGCGCCUGUAAUCCCAGCUACUCGAGAGGCUGAAGCAGGAGAAUCGCUUGACCCCAGGAGGUGGAGGUUGCAGUGAGCCAAGACUGUGCCAUUGCACUCCAGCCUGGGUGACAGAGCGAGACUCCAUCUCUAAUAAUAAUAAUAAUAAUAAUAAUAAUAAUAAUGUUUUAGACUCGGUUUGGCUGUGGGAAAAGGACUUAUAAAAAUGCCCAACCUGAGGCUGCAGAGAAAAGGAAAUACUUAUGCUGUUGGUGGGAAUGUAAAUUAGCUCAGCCACUGUGGAAGACAGUUUGGAGAUUUCUCAAAGACCUUAAAACAAAAUUACCAAUUGACCCAACAAUACCAUUACUAGGUAUAUAUCCAAAACAAAAAUUAUUCUACCAAAAAGACACAUGCACUUGUAUGUUCAUCACAGUGCUAUUCACAAUAGCAAAGACAUGGAAUCAACCUAGAUGCACAUCCACAGUGAAAUGGAUAAAGAAAAUGUGAUACAUAUACACCAUGCGGAAUACUACACAGCCAUAAAAAAAGAAUGAAAUCAUGUCCUUUGCAGCAACAUGGAUGCAGCUGGAGGCCAUCAUCCUAAGGGAAUUGAUGCAGGAACAAAAAACCAAAUACCACAUAUUCUCACUUAUAAGUAGGAGAUAAACACUGGGCAUACAUGGACAUGAAGAUGGCAAUGAUAGACAAUACUAGAUGGGGGAGAAAGGGAGGGAGGCAAGGGUUGAAAAACUACCUCUUUGGUACUAUGCUCAUUACCUGGGUGGUGGGUUCAAUUGUACCCCAAACCUCAGCAUCACAAAACAUACUCAUGCAACAAACCUGCACAGGUACCCCCUGAAUCUAAAUUAAAAGCUGAAAUCAUGAAAACAAAAUACUUCGUAUCUAAGAUCUCUUCUUUCACCACCAUCCUCACUAUGCUGGUAUAUACCUUUGCUUGAGUUAGUUUGGCUUGAGAAAUGGGGAAGGAAGUGAAGAAAGAUAGAUAAAAGAUAAAAUUUUGGAGCAAUUAAAGCCCAUAAAGAUGUGGGCAUCAGGGACUGGCAUUAAUCAAAAAGAGGUUCCCUCUACUUCUGUUUUAGCUACAACCUGUUUCAAAGUUUCAAAUGUCACAUUGGAAAUCCAGCUACUCAAGCAGAAUAUUUUAGGAAAAAAACCUCUCAGGUUCCUUUCUAUUUCUGUGUCCAGUUCAGAAAUCAGAAGACAAAUUCUUAGAAUGUCAAAACAUAAACUUGAAGCAACAAUGAGGGAAUACUGCAGAGACAGUACUUACAGAAACUUCUCUGGAUGCUGUCAGAAGCUAGGAAGACCCAAUUCUCCUGCACAUUGUGUUGGCUCUGCUGCUCUGCUGGGUAGCAAAAGUUUGCUUCUUCUAGCAGAGGAAGCAGAUGUGAGUUGGAGAAACAUGCAAAACAAAUGUGUGGAGCAAAAGUUUUUAUGUAAAUGGUAAUCUAUCUGAUCGUAAGUGGCAUGACCUCAUGAGGUGAGUGUUCAACAUGACUCUUUUUCAUCAACACAAAAGAUAAUUUAUAUAAGUGCUGAAACAGAUCAUGAUUGAAAGAACAUGCCACUCUGAUCUUUGCUUGCUUUAUAAGAAAACUGAAUGUUAAACAAAACCUCCCAAGCCUUGGAUGUGUGCAAAUGCUUCCUGGCCACUGGGGAGGUCUAUGCAUUCAAAAUGUCUCCGUGCACCUGCUGCUCAGGAAAAUAACAUUUCACUUCCCUAGGUGCUUUGUGGGCUCUUGGUAAAUGAUGGUAAAGGACGGCUCACUGGUAAAGGAUGCCUCAGUCCAUGGACAAAGAAUCUGAAAUACCUGCAAAGGUUAUGCAUUUAAAUCAAGGGCACUUAACAAGACUUGAAAGAACGCCGACAGCCCAGGUCAUUUGAUAUUGAAGUAGGUGCCACUGCUAAAGAUCUCUUACCGUGAAACAGAAGAGUAGAACCAACUACUCUGUUAGGCACAGCAGCCACAGUGCAUACAGCAUGUGAUAUUUUAGGGGCCCCCAAAUUUUUAUUUUCUUUCAAAGCAGAAAGAAAACAAACUUUUCAGUCGGAGAAGACAGUCUAUAUCUGUAAUAUAAAUACAUUUGUCUUUAUAUCAACACUAUUGUAAAAUGUAAUAUUUAUUUAUUUGUUGGAACAAAGGGUCCACAAAGGGAAAAGUGACUAGGACCCACACAUGUCAGGAAUACAAUCUAUGGGGCAGCCCAGUUCACUCAAUCUCAUUUCUAACUCCCAAUCAAUUCUUCUCAUCUCUCUUCCCCAAUUCCCAACAAGUUCUUCCUGUCUGGCAUCUUCAGUAUUAUUUGCUCCUAUUUCUUUAGUUGUUCUCUUUCUUCCUCAAUUUGAAGUCAGCAAGACUUAUAUUCAAACCCCACCUUUACUAAUGAUCUAUUUCAUAGAAAGGGUUGACAAGAUUUCUAACCUUUCUAGAGCCUUAGUUUCUCCAUAUGUUAAAAAAUAAGAGGAGGAUUAAAAAAUCACCUAUGUUCAAGGUUGGGGUAAAGAUUAAAUAAGGCAAGAAGGUAAAGUGCCUAACAUAAUGCCUGGCACAUAACAAAAGUUCUACAAAUGCUUCAUUGCUACUACACCUAUUACCUCGGCUGCUGCUUUGCUGCUAUUUGUAUUCCCCUAUAGCACAUAGCAUAUUUCUCAGAACAAAGUGCAUAGUGGGUACUUAAUAAAUGUUACUAGUUGAGAGCACUUCACUAUAGCACAUAUUGUAUUGUUGAAAAAUUAAAUCAUAUUCCUCUGGUAAAUUGAAGUAGGCAAGGUAACUAAUAACCAUUAAAAUAGGUAUUUAAUUGACAGUACAACUUUGAAAACUAAUAGGUUUUUAUUAAAUAAUUACUGAUAAAUGCACUCCCUAUUCUCAUUAUGGAUAUUUGCUAUUAGAUAACUAUCACUUGAGCUAUUUUAUAAUAGCCCUCUAUGGUGUUGGAAGGGUACAAAAAAAUAAAUGAGAGAGUUCUAAACCAUUUCAAAAUAUCAUAACUGAAGUCAUUCACACAUCAUUUAAUAUCUCAGAAUCUAGAUGGCUAAUUGAUUUUUUAAAAAUAAGUCAUCAAAUGCCAGUUUCAAAUGUGUAGCUAAAUGCUGGAGAAUUUUUUAAAUCCUAUUUUCCCCUUCCUUAGUAUUAUCUGUUUUAAAAUGCAAGCUGUUUCAAACAGAUCUGUGAAACAUAGUCUCCAAGCUUCUCCUAUAUAUAACCUUCCUGUAGCUUUUAUUUAUGACCCUAUUCUGGUGCAACAUUUUGAGGGCAAAAUGUAUAUGAUACCAUAGAUCAUCUAUACAAAUCAACUUGUGUGAAUAUUAUAUUGUUCCCCAUGUCAAAACUUUUUGAUAUGGAAAGGGGUAUUAAAAGAAACAUUCCCCUAUGUGUAUAGCAAUUUUCUUAUAAGUAUAUUUUAUUAAUUCCUAAACACUACAUAUUCUAGCCACAAUAACAGUUUAUUACUUUCUAAAUCUUUCUUCCUAACAGCAAAACAUUAUACUGUUUAUGGGUAAAUCAAAAUGAAAUAACAGACUCAUUAUAUUAUAUAAUGUUUUAUGUUUCAUUAAUGAUCUUUUCUGUAAUUGAAUGCAUGCUUCUGAUUGUAAUAAUUACAUUGGGCAGAAAAGAAGGCAGAUUAAUGAAUAGAAUAAAGAGCUGUCAGAAUAGUAUCACUGUCUACAGAAAUGAUUUAAAAUACAAAGAUGAAAGAUAAGAAUGAUUCUCCAACAUACAACACAGAAGGAUUACCCAUAAAUUAUUCACACUCCUAGUAAACACAUAGGACAGUAGAAAUACAGAAACCCAUUUGUCUAAACCAGUGGUUCUCAAUCAGGGUUGACUUUGUCCCUCAACAGACAUUUGGCAAUGUCUGAAGACAGUUUUGGUUGACACAUCUUGGGGAGGGGGUUGCUAUAGGAAUCUAGUGGAUAGAGGCCAAGAGUGCUGCUAAACAUCCAACAAUAAAGAGAAUAACUUCCCUGGAACAAAGAAAUAUCCAGCUUCAAAUGUCAACAGUGCCGAGAUUGAGAAACUCUAAUCCCAAUCUGGUUAUAUGUUAUGUAAAUUAACUCUUUCUCCUUCACUGGUAAUUAACUAAACUAAGAGCUAAUUAAAUUCAGAGCCGUCUCUGGGACAAUUAUAUACAAAUUCUAGUUAGCAUAAAAAUAACUAAAAUACAGGCAUUAAAUAAACUCAAAUAGUUCAUUAUGGCUAAGUUGGUACUUAAUAAUGUUUGAUAAAAUGUCUAUUAAUAAAUUAAUCAAAUUAUCUUACUAUUUAUCAAAAUGUUAUUGUAAUUGAUUUUUUAAUUGACUGGUAUGCUUUAUCUUUGCUUACUCUGCCAUGCUAGUCUUUUGGCAAAAUGGUAACAUGCAGAGUUGAUGCUCAGAAGGUAAGAGAAUAGGGGAAGGAGAAAUUAGGAGGCUUGAUUAAUCUUAAAUUGGUUUCUUCUUCUUUGGUUAUUUGGAAGUGGAUGGCCUUUUAAGUUUGCUGUAGUUUGAAUGUCCCCAAAAUUCAUGUGUUGAAACUUAAUCCCCAUUGUGAUGGUAUUAAGAUUUUUCGGAUGUGAUUAAAUCAUGAGAGUUCCACUCUCAUAAAUGGAUGAGUGCCUUAUAAAAGUGCUGGAGGUAACUACUUUAGACCCUUUUGCUGCCCUUUGCGUCUUUCCCCAUGUGAGGACAUAGAAUUUUCCCUUUUUGCUCAUUUCCCGCUUCCACCAUGUGAGGAUGCAGCACGAAGAACCUCACCAGACACCAAAGGCCGGUGCUUUGAUUUUGGACUUCCCAGCCUCCACAACUAAAGGAAAUACAUUUCUGUUCUUUAUAAACUACCUAGUCUCAAGUAUUUUGUUAGAGCAGCACAAAUAUGUUAAGACAAUGUUUAUUUAAAAUUUAAUAAUGGGGUUCAUUAGGCCAAAAUCUAAUUUGAAAUGUAGGGAGAAAUUAUAAUUUUUCCCUUUGACCUAUAAAUAAAAUAUAAUAAAAGUUUAGUUCAUUUUCCUUUAGAUUUGCCUGCAUAGGCUUUGGGGAUUUAAAUGUAACAGCUUGCCAUUUAAUCUGCAACAGUUUGACUCUAGAUUUCAGCCCUACAAAUAUAGUGAGGACACUGUGGUUGUUGACAGAAAGGAAAAAAAAAAAGAACAGCUUGGAAAAGUAAAAAUUUGUAAAUCUCAUUGAUGUAUAUCUGCUUAGCUAUUAAUUUGAAACCUAAAGACACUAAUGAGAUUAAAUAUAAAAGAGAAAUAAUAGAAAAGUCUAUGGGUUAGAAUUUUAAGUGGAAUCUAUGGUGAGAAAAUUUUACCCCUGCUGUUGACUUCCCCCAGCUCAUGAAGCCACUUGUGCCUAGUAAAGUAUCUAAAGCAGUCCACAUUAUUCACGCCACAUUUUUGUGUUCACUCAUUUGACACUUUCUAAAAAGUACUAGUGCUUAUCAGAUAAUUUUCCAUGUUAUAAAAUAUAAUACUUACUGUGGGACCACACAUAAACUGUAAAUUAAGACCUUGUGGAAAGGAUUCUUAUAAAUUACCAACAUACUUUUCUGCAAUUAUCUGUAGGAUUCAUCCCACAAGAAUUUUCUAAUACUUUUCUUGAUAUUACAGUAACAUUUUCCUGACGUAAUCUAUUCUUUAAGGUAAUGGCAUGAUAAUUAACUUGUUUCUGAUCAAUACAACAUUGGAGAAACGUGUCAUGGAAGAAAGGAAUAUAUAACUUUCCCACCAAUCUUUUUUCCUAAUUUAUUGAGGUAUAAUUUAUAUGCAGUAUACAUAAUUUAUAUAUAUAUAUACACAAAUACACAUGUAUAGUUGAUAUAUUGUAUAAUUUUAAACAGUAGAUUGCAAAAAUCUUAAAUGCAGUUAAUUAAAUUUGUAUCUAUCUAUAUAGCACCUAGUUAUAUAUGUAACCAGCACCCAGAUUAAGAUAUAGGACAUUUGCCCAAAAAAUUCCCUCAUGCUUAGUUGUACCUACACCUUCUAGUAACUGCUAUUCUGACUUCUAUAAACAUAGAUUAGUUUUGCUUAUUCUUGAACUUCAUAUAAGUGAAAUACAGUAUUUCUUUAUAUAUCUGGCUUCUUUUAAUUUUUUUUGUUUUUAAUUGUUGUGGAUACAUAAUAGUUGUAUAUAUUUAUGGGAUACAUGUGAUAUUUUGAUAUAAGUAUACAAUGUGUAAUGAUCAAAUCAGGGUAAUUGGGAUAUCUAUCACACCUCAAGUAUGUGUCAUUUCUUUGUGUUAGGAACAUUCCAAUUCCACUCUUCUAGUUGUUUUGAAAUAUGCCAUGAAUUACUGCUAACUACAGUUGCCCUGUUAUACUAUUGAACAUUAGACCUUAUUCCUUCUAUUGGUGUUUUUGUGCCCAUUAACAACCACUCUUCAUCCCAGCCUCUCCACUGCCCUACUCAGACUAUGGUUAACCAGCAUUCUACUCUUUAUCUCCAUGAUAUCCACUUGUCUUUGGCUCCCACAUAUGACUGAGAACAUGUGAUAUUUGUCUUUUUGUUCCUGACUUAUUUCACUUAAUAUCUUCCAGUUCCAUCCAUGCUGUUGCAAAUGGCAGGAUAUCAUUUUUAUGGCUGAGUAAUACACCAUUGUAUAUAUGUACCACAUUUUCUUUAUCCAUUCAUCCAUUGAUGGACACUUAGGUUGAUUCCAUAUCUUGGCUAUUGUGAAUAAUGCUGCAACAAACAUGGGAAUGCAGAUAGCUUUUCAAUAUACUGAUUUCCUUUAUUUCAGAAAUAUACUCAGCAGUGGGAUUGCUGGAUUACACAGUAGUUGUAUUUUUAGUUUUUUGAGAAACCUCGAUACUGUUCUCCACAGUGGCUGUACUAGUUUACUUUCCCACAAACAGAGUACAAGGGUUCUCUUUUCUCCACAUCCUUGCUAGCAUUCAUUAUUGAUGUCUGGCUUGUUUUUAUGAAUGUAAGGUUUUGAAGAUUGUUUCAUAUUUGUGUGUAUCCAUACUUCAUUUAUUUUUAAUGCCCCAAUAGUAUAAUAUUGGAUUUGUUUCCUUUCUUACUGAAUUUUUUUCAACUUUUAGCUACUAUGAAUAAAACCAAUACGAAGA